AUUGAACGCUGGCGGCAGGCCUAACACAUGCAAGUCGAACGCGUGGCGGACGGGUGAGUAAUGUCUGGGAAACUGCCCGCUGUAGGGGGAUAACUACUCGAAACGGUAGCUAAUACCGCAUCCCAUCGGAUGUGCCCAGCUGGGAUUAGCUUGUAGGUGGGGUAACGGCUCACCUAGGCGACGAGCCCUAGCUGGUCUGAGAGGAUGACCAGCCACACUGGAACUGAGACACGGUCCAGACUCCUACGGGAGGCAGAAGUGGGGAAUAUUGCACAAGGGGAGCAAGCCUGAUGCAGCCAUGCCGCGUGUAUGAAGAAGGCCUUCGGGUUGUAAAGUACUUUCAGCGGGGAGGCGUUACCCGCAGAAGAAGCACCGGCUAACUCCGUGCCAGCCGCCGCGGUAAUAC
rnacentral:rRNA from 1 species